rnacentral:rRNA from 1 species
UACGUAGGGCGCGAGCGUUGUCCGGAAUUAUUGGGCGUAAAGAGCUCGUAGGCGGCCUGUUGCGUCCGCUGUGAAAUCCCAGGGCUCAACCCUGGGCGUGCAGUGGAUACGGGCAGGCUGGAGGCAGGCAGGGGAGAACGGAAUUCCCGGUGUAGCGGUGAAAUGCGCAGAUAUCGUAAGGAAGACCAGUGGCGAAGGCGGGUCUCUGGACAGUUCCUGACGCUGAGGCACGAAGGCCAGGGGAGCAAACGGG